rnacentral:ncRNA from 1 species
UUAACCUUCUUGCGUCGCUGCCAAUUCAGCGAACGGGUGUGGUAGCCCGGUUA